rnacentral:lncRNA from 1 species
UUAUCUACUCAAAUCUCCUCAGCCGAAAAUUACCCCCGCCCAGCCGUUGAAGCAGUCGCCCUACUCCCUUCCGUACACUGCCACACGCUAAUCCUACUCCCGCAAGCACCCACCACGGCAGCCCUGAUCAUGGGAAUCCGCCCCGCCCAUGUAGCCAUACAAUUGCGCACAGAGCCCAGAUCUGCGCGACAGCGGCAGCGACGCCCUGUGCGAGCAUCGAUGAGGAGUAGUAGUACCUGGCGCGCCGGAGUCGUUCUGGAGAGCAGCCCACACGCGAUGCUCCUGCUGGACUCCCCAGCGUCAUGCCCGACGGCGAACUCCCUUCUAAACCUGGUCCAGGCUCAUGGGCUGGGCGCGCGCCAUAUCCUUACUGGGCAGAAGCUACACAGAAGAGGAAGAAGAAGAUCGUGAAGAAGGGAAUCUGGACGCGAGGCAGGUGAGCAGAUGGUGAGCACAACAAGUGAGGGUGAGGGGAGUCGGAAGCGGAGUUGUGAUGAGAACCAAGUGUAGCCCCCGAGCGCGUACAAGCGCAUGCGAGGGUGAUGAUGCCGAAGGUAUGUGCAAUACGCUAUGUCGCUUUGUUGAUAUCAGCGGUCAGAGUUAGUCUCUCACUUCCACCCUUUUCUUCAUCAAUGACAUGGUGCAUUUCGUUUUUGCUUCGGAGCAUGGUCUCAUGAUGUCUCUCUAAUCUCCUUAAUGUGGUGACCAGGACUCAAGCUUUUUAGGUGGCCAUGUAGGAUCUUUUGAUUGCUGGUGCGGGAGCUCGGUCUUUCUCAUGGUCCGUGGAACGGUCGUCUGCCUAUGGUUUCGUGAUUCUUUAUAUGUAUGUAUGUAUGUAUGUAUGUAUGUGUACAAUAUCCGUAUAUAUGUCAAAUACGCGGAUAGUUGUCGGGAUGUGGGUGAGAAAUGAAACGCAUGGUCUUCAAAUGUGAGGAAUUGUUUUCCUCAGACAUCCUGUUUUCUUUGUGAUCAUAAUAUAUGUAUGGUUUAGAGAUAUUUUACUUAGUACCAAACGUAAGCAUUCAUCUAUACCACCAAAACUCACAUGAAUCUGAAGUCUUUGUAGAGUUCUUGUGUCUUUCUUUUAUUGCAAAAAACACUGAAUACACUAUCCAAGUCCGUUCUCUCUCUCUCUCUCUCUCUCUCUCUCACACACACACACAUCAAA